GGGUCAGUAGGUUGGUCGUGCCACCGGUACGUAGUGGUCUCACUGAUUCCUCCUUCCUGUAGAACCGUAAUGCCAUUAAUUUGGUGUUGCGGGGAAACAGGACUGUUACUUUGAAAAAAUUAGAGUGUUUAAAGCAUGCUAACGCUUGAAUACAUUAGCAUGGAAUAAUGAAAUAGGACGAUCGAUCCUAUUUUGUUGGUUUCUAGGAUUGACGUA
rnacentral:rRNA from 1 species